CUGACAUCACAGAAGCAAUGUUUUCAGUCUAGCAGAGGUGGUGAUGUAAAAAAUCCAAUGUAAGGGGCUUACUGGAGUUGACUGCCUAGAGAACAUGAUGGCCACCAGGGACAAGCAAUGGUGAGCCUUGCUAGAGUCCAGCUGCAAUCAAAAUUGUAGCAAGAAUGAUGUGAGGUGUAACCCCUGUCUGCAAAUGAGCCAAAUACCAGCUUCUGGUUAAUGCUGCUGUUCAAGAAGAUGUGCACAGCUUCACAAUACGCCAGAUAAGGUGUGAAAAAGCCUGCAGAACCCAUACCUCUGGUUCAUGUCUGCAGUAACCUUGCACGGCUGGGAAUCCUUCUGCCAAGAGGAAGAUACAAGAGAAGCAGGGGCUAGCACAUUAGAGGUUAAGUAAUUUGCAUUUCGUUAAUAACACUUCAUUUUUGCCCUCAA